UUAAAGUGGAGGCAGAGAAUCCGGAUGAGCCUGACCACCCGACCACGAUGCAAAACGAUGCCGAGUUGGUGGUUGCUGCAGUUCCUGCUGUUCAGGUGAGCUUCGAGGAGCUCAACUUGUAGACCUGAGUCACAAAAGUCAGACAGAGAAGGAAGCCGUGUUACAGCGCUUGCGCCAGGAAGGGGUUCGGCGGUUUGCCAACUUCACGUGCUACUAGGGGUUUCC